CGGGGAUGACUUGUGGGUAGCGGUGAAAUUCCAAUCGAGCCCGGAGAUAGCUGGUUCUCCCCGAAAUAGCUUUAGGGCUAGCCUCAAGGUGAGAGAUACGGAGGUAGAGCACUGAAUGUCCUAGGGGGUAUUGCACCUACCGAAGACUAUCAAACUCCGAAUGCCGUCAUCUUAUACUUGGGAGUCAGACUGUGGGUGAUAAGAUUCAUAGUCGAAAGGGCAACAGCCCAGAUCGUCAGCUAAGGUCCCUAAAUGUAAGUUAAGUGGUAAAGGAUGUGGGAUUGCACAGACAACCAGGAUGUUGGCUUAGAAGCAGCCACUCAUUCAAAGAGUGCGUAAUAGCUCACUGGUCGAGUGAUCCUGCGCCGAAGAUUUCCGGGGCUAAAACUUACUACCGAAGCUACGGCAUCAGUAAUGAUGGGUAGGGGAGCUUCCCAUACGGGUUGAAGCAUGACCGUAAGGACAUGUGGACAGUAUGGGAGUGAGAAUGUUGGCAUGAGUAGCGAGAUGUGGGUGAGAAUCCCACAGGCCGUAAACCCAAGGUUUCCAGGGGAAGGUUCGUCCGCCCUGGGUUAGUCGGGACCUAAGCUGAGGCCGAAAGGCGUAGGUGAUGGACAACAGGUUGAUAUUCCUGUACUACCGAUAACCGUUUGAGAGAAGGGAUGACACAGUAGGAUAAGCUAAGCACACUGUUGGUUAUGUGUGCCCAAGCAUUGAGGCAGUCAAAGUAGGCAAAUCCGCUUUGAUAAUGCUGGGAUGUGAUGGGGAGCGAAAUUUAGUAGCGAAGUAGCUGAUUUCACACUGUCAAGAAAAGUCUCUAUCGAGGUUAAAGGUACCCGUACCGCAAACCGACACAGGUGGGUGAGGAGAGUAUCCUAAGGCCAGCGAGAGAACUGUUGUUAAGGAACUCGGCAAAAUGACCCCGUAACUUAGGGAUAAGGGGUGCCACCAUCAGGUGGCCGCAGAGAAUAGGCCCAAGCGACUGUUUACCAAAAACAUAGGUUUCUGCUAAGUCGCAAGACGAUGUAUAGGAGCUGACGCCUGCCCGGUGCUGGAAGGUUAAGGG
rnacentral:rRNA from 1 species